GUUCAGUUUAUUCAAAGUUGGGAAAAGCUUUGUUUCUCUUGUCUCUAGUGUUCAGAUUUGUCUGGCUCUGCGGUAUCUCCAUGAGAAGAAAAUUCUUCACAGAGAUAUUAAACCUCAGAAUAUCUUCCUGACUGAAGAUGGUUACAUCAAUCUUGGCGAUUUUGGAUGCUCAAAAUCAUUGGAAAGAGCUGAUGAAUAUGCUAAUUCAGUCGUGGGUGCAAAGCUCUAUGUCAGCCCAGAAGUUUAUCAGAAGAAAUAUAAUUCCAAAAGUUAAGCUAUUGGACAACUGAGGGUAUAUAAAAUAUCAUGUUCAGCAUAAUAAAUUGGUUACAAUUUCAUUAAAGGGGUCAUAUGAUGCUUUUUUAAAGAUCAUUAUUUUGUGUAUUUGGUGUAGCAGAAUAUGUUGACAUGCUUUAAAGCUGCAGUCGGUA